rnacentral:rRNA from 1 species
UACGUAGGGUGCAAGCGUUGUCCGGAAUUAUUGGGCGUAAAGAGCUCGUAGGCGGUUUGUCGCGUCUGCUGUGAAAACUCGGGGCUUAACUCCGGGCCUGCAGUGGGUACGGGCAGACUAGAGUGCGGUAGGGGAGACUGGAAUUCCUGGUGUAGCGGUGAAAUGCGUAGAUAUCGGAAGGAACACCGGUGGCGAAGGCGGCCAACUGGACGAAUACUGACGCUGAGACUCGAAAGCGUGGGGAGCAAACAGG